rnacentral:SRP_RNA from 1 species
AGCCGGGGAGUUAGCGGUGCCCUGUACUCGCAAUCCGCUAUAGCGAGGGUGAUGGUUGGUGUCGGGUCGUUCUUCUGCAGAGCUGCCCUUGGUAAGUGGCGUUGAGGUUUGGGUCUUGCGCGACGGGAACCUAUGAACCGUGUCAGGUCGGGAACGAAGCAGCACUAAGUAGGACCUUCCGGGUGCCGUGAGGUAGCCUGGGCUGAGUUAACUGCUAAGGUAAC